UACGAAGGGUGCAAGCGUUACUCGGAAUUACUGGGCGUAAAGCGUGCGUAGGUGGUGAGUUAAGUCUGUCGUGAAAGCCCCGGGCUCAACCUGGGAAUGGCGAUGGAUACUGGCUCGCUAGAGUGCGGUAGAGGAGAGUGGAAUUCCCGGUGUAGCAGUGAAAUGCGUAGAGAUCGGGAGGAACACCGAUGGCGAAGGCAGCCCCCCUGGGAUAACACUGACGCUCAUGCACGAAAGCGUGGGGAGCAAACAGG
rnacentral:rRNA from 1 species